GACGAACGCUGGCGGCGUGCUUAACACAUGCAAGUCGAACGGAAAGGCCCUGCUUUUGUGGGGUGCUCGAGUGGCGAACGGGUGAGUAACACGUGAGUAACCUGCCCUUGACUUUGGGAUAACUUCAGGAAACUGGGGCUAAUACCGGAUAGGAGCUCCUGCUGCAUGGUGGGGGUUGGAAAGUUUCGGCGGUUGGGGCUGGAUUCGCGGCUUAUCAGCUUGUUGGUGGGGUAGUGGCUUACCAAGGCUUUGACGGGUGGCCGGCCUGAGAGGGUGAACGGCCACAUUGGGCCUGAGAUACGGACCAGACUCCUACGGGAGGCAGCAGUGGGGAAUAUUGCACAAUGGGCGGAAGCCUGAUGCAGCAACGCCGCGUGCGGGAUGACGGCCUUCGGGUUGUAAACCGCUUUCGCCUGUGACGAAGCGUGAGUGACGGUAAUGGGUAAAGAAGCACCGGCUAACUACGUG
rnacentral:rRNA from 1 species